rnacentral:rRNA from 1 species
GACGAACGCUGGCGGCGUGCUUAACACAUGCAAGUCGAACGGAAAGGCCCUGCUUUUGUGGGGUGCUCGAGUGGCGAACGGGUGAGUAACACGUGAGUAACCUGCCCUUGACUUUGGGAUAACUUCAGGAAACUGGGGCUAAUACCGGAUAGGAGCUCCUGCUGCAUGGUGGGGGUUGGAAAGUUUCGGCGGUUGGGGAUGGACUCGCGGCUUAUCAGCUUGUUGGUGGGGUAGUGGCUUACCAAGGCUUUGACGGGUAGCCGGCCUGAGAGGGUGACCGGCCACAUUGGGACUGAGAUACGGCCCAGACUCCUACGGGAGGCAGCAGUGGGGAAUAUUGCACAAUGGGCGGAAGCCUGAUGCAGCAACGCCGCGUGCGGGAUGACGGCCUUCGGGUUGUAAACCGCUUUCGCCUGUGACGAAGCGUGAGUGACGGUAAUGGGCAAAGAAGCACCGGCUAAUUACGUG